UGUCCUAAUCUAGCAAACACUAUUUGCAUAGAUAGCACCAAAGUUCCUAAGUACUAUUUGGAUCUGCCACUGUGAACAGUCACAGGCAUUUGCAAUAUUCAACAUGAUGCCAUGGUGUGGCAGCUUCCUCAUGGAUGUGUAUGACUGAUUGGUUUUCCCUGAACUUUGGAAGCCAUGGAAAAAUGUUACGUUGGAGGAAGACGAUUAAAGAAGACGACACAAGCUAGAAAUCAUUUAACCAGCUAGGAGAAUCAUUUUCAUCUAUUUUGGAUUCAAUGUAAUUU
ensembl:lncRNA